UACAGAGGGUGCGAGCGUUAAUCGGAAUUACUGGGCGUAAAGCGUGCGUAGACGGUUAUUUAAGUCGGGUGUGAAAGCCCCGGGCUCAACCUGGGAAUUGCAUUCGAGACUGAAUAGCUAGGGUACGGUAGAGGGAAGUGGAAUUUCCGGUGUAGCGGUGAAAUGCGCAGAUAUCGGGAGGAACACCGGUGGCGAAGGCGGUUCUCUGGGCCUGUACUGACGCUGAGGAGCGAAAGCGUGGGGAGCGAACAGG
rnacentral:rRNA from 1 species